rnacentral:lncRNA from 1 species
CAAGAAUUUUGGAGUCAUGGUUUACUCUUCCUUUUUCUUCAUACUCAUAUUGGAGUGUAUGUAUACUUUUAAAAUUUGUCCAGAAUUCUGCCAUGUCUCACUACUUUAAUGUGUAUUAAUGUUUCUGUAUCUUUUUGUGCAGGUGUAUAAUAAUUUUUGAUUGGAUCAAUAGUUAUUGUCAUUUUAGCCAUAUAAACACCCUCCAAAUAACAUAUGGGAUAUGCUGUGAUUGUAUUUUCACUUUUUUUUGGUGGUGGUGGAGCUCUGAAUAUUCAACCCAGGACGUUUUAAAAUUUUGAGGUGUGGUCACUGAAUUGCCCAGGCUGGGCUUAAAACUUGGCUCAGUCUCCCAGAGUGCUGGGAUUAGAAGCAUGCAUCACCAUAUCUGACAUUUUUUUCCUUUUUCAUAUUUUCAAUCUUGGAAAGCUUUCCCCUUGACUGUUAAUAGUUCUCUUUGUGCUUAUCAGUAACUCCGGAAGUUUGAGUCCCUCUGUAUGUUCAAAUACAUCAGAUAUUUCAUUGUGAAUAUUGCCUGAAGAAUAUCUGCCUUUGGUGGCUCAGGAACUUGUAGCCCAGCUACAGAAUAACUCCAGUUUGGCGUCCGGUCACAACUGAGACUUCAGUGAUCCAGUGAUGCUGUGAUUUUCCAGGACAAGAAACAUCCUGGGAGCUGAAAACAUCCUGGGAGAACAAACAUCUGCUCAGUUCCUCAUUGUUCUUAGAUUUCCACUGCCCCCCAUCCUUUUGUUACACCUUGUUAAUCCCAAUGUGAACUAUUGAACUCUAUAUUUCAUUUGUUGCAUUUAUUUCUCCCGACGUACUGAAUAAAAGGUGUGGUAAGCCGGGGGCUUUUGUCUUUGCUGCCCUGAGCAGCACUGAUCAGACCCAAAG